CCCGCGCCCGCCUAGCGCAGCCCGCACCCGCGCGAUCCCGGGCCCCUCGGCCGCCUCGCCCGCGGCCCCCGCCCCUUCCCCGGCAGUCGGCUCCCUCUCCCCCCUCCUAGCCCCUCCCCGAAGCCGCGGUCCCUCCGAAAUGGCCCGGCCCGAGGCCCCGACCCGGCGCGGGGCUGCGGACGGGCUGGGCGGUGCGUCCGGCGACUCGCACAGGAAAGCGGACGGCGAAGGGAGGGAGCCUGGGAGAGGGGGAUGGGAGAAGGGAGGAAGAGGGAGAAGGAGGGAGCGCGGAGGAACGGAGGAGAGAGGGGCCAGGAGGGAGACGCGAGGGAGGGAGCGCGAGGCAAGCCGCGAGGGGGGAGAGAGGGGGAGCCGGAGAGGGGGAGGCGCAGCGCGAGUUGGCCGAGGCCGAGGCCGAGGGGGCCGGGGCGCGGGGAGGGCUAGCCGUGGCGGAAUGUGGGGAGCCCGCGGGCCCGGCGCGGGAGAGGGCUAGGUAGCCUCUGGCAGUCAGUCUGCUCCCGGCCGUGAAGCCAGCACCUCCGCCAGCCCACCACCAGUUCCUUCUCCUGGGCUCCCUCCUGGCCCUCCACCAAGCGGCAACAUCUCCCAGGACAAAGGACACAGGGUCCUUCCGUAUACUACCCCCGGAACCAUUCUUCCUUCCCAUUUCCCCAUCUUGCAGUGGGUGAUGGCCAUGAAGUCCUGUUCCAUUCGAGAACCAGCCAGGGUUUUGUUGGCAGAGGCCCAGUACAGGAGCUGCUCCAGUCCACAAGCCCUUUGGAUAUGAAAACACCUUAGACCCCCUUUCCCCCAAAAUGCGCGUGCACACACACACACACACAAAAUAUUUUAUGCUUUUAGGGGCUCUUGAACCCCUUAAUUCACCUGCGUCUGGGAGCCAAGCCUUCUGCUAAGAAAGCAGGGGCCACAUGCACCCCACCUAGCCAGAAUGGGGUAGGCAGUGCCAUCAUCUCGGCCAUAUUUGUUCAGUUUGUCUUCCUCUUUUUGUGCCCCCCCAG
rnacentral:lncRNA from 10 species